GGCCCUUAGCUCAGUGGUUAGAGCAGUCGACUCAUAAUCGAUUGGUCCCCAGUUCAAGUCUGGGAGGGGCCACCA
rnacentral:tRNA from 1 species